GCUUGAAUGGUGGAAUGGUAGACACGCUAGACUUAGGAUCUAGUGCCGCAAGGUGUAAGGGUUCGAGUCCCUUUUCAAGCACCA
rnacentral:tRNA from 1 species